rnacentral:sRNA from 12 species
AUAAGGAGGAAUCUAUAUGACGAAGUCAUAUUUAACAUGAUUCCGACGACUUGCCGCCGAGCAAAGCGAGGGGGCGUCACAGCUU